ACACAGAGUCUCUGUCACACACACUCUCUUUCUAUCUCACACAGACAUACACACACACAUAUAUAUAUAGAUAUAUACAAAUAUACAUACAUGCAUGCAUACAUUCGUAUACAUACUAUUUCACUGUUCCAUUACUACUGCAUAUAAAUAUACACGCUCACACAUAUAAACACAUACAAAACAGGAACCAAACACACAUAAACAAACACACACACACACACACGCACGCACACACACGCACCGAUAAAGACAAAUACAAGCAUAUAACAUAUGCACACAUCGAAAUACGCACAACACGACACACAGAAGCAUAUAUAUACAUAUACACACAUAUACACAAACUCGCACUCCACACACACACACGUCACAUAUACAUCCCGUAUACCACAUUCUCCCGUUUAACUAACACAGCGAGAGGAGGAGAAGCGCUGUACAAUUUUCGCUUGGAUUUCACCACGGUCCGACCACAAAAAAAAUUUUGUUUAUUUUUUUUCAAAGAGAAAAAAAAAAAGAAAAAAAGAAUAUGGGAUGUAUAUGAUUUCAGUAGGACCUUUUCGGAAUGUUUACAUAUUAGGGCUACUCCAAUCAGAAUAAAUAUAGGAUGUUUAAAAACCCUAUAAAUAAGGAAAGAACGGCUAGAAGUACAGAGAAAGAAAAAAGAAAAUAAAUAUUAAAAAAAAAUAAUAAUAAUAAUAAAAGGAAAAAAAGACAAAAAUAAAACAAAAGGGUAGAAUACAUACAUACAUAUAUACAUAUAUAUAUAUAUUAUAUAUAUAGUAUAUGUAUACAUAGAUGUAACUACCCCUAAAAAAAUCUUACCAUAAAUAUAAAAAAAAAACAACAAAAAUAUUUGAUAAAUCAACUAAUCAACUAGCCUUGGAUGGUAAUUAAUUGACUAAUAAUUAAGAAAGGAAGAGUAAAAAAACACAAUAAUUAUUGAAAAACAACAACACAGUAUAAUUAUAAUUAACCAUCUGUUGGGCCCGAAUUUGUUUUGAUUAGUAAAUCUGUACAUAUAUUCAAUACUUAGUUAUAUAUAUAUACGCACACGUGUGUGUGUGUAUACAUACAUACAUAUACAUAUAUAUAUAUAUAUAUAUAUAUAUAUAUGUAAUAUAGUAUUGUGUAUGUAUAUACAUAUAUAUGUAUGUAACUACAUAUAUAUAAAUAUAUAAAUUCAUGUAUAAAAUAUAAUAUAAAUAGUAUAAUUAUACAUACUAAUAUAUGUGUGCAAUAUAAAUCUCUGUUUUGGAGUCAUUUGAAAACUACUAGAAGAUCGGCUGCUGGAAAACAACGUGGAAAUACAAAGGAUAAACAGCUCAAGGCCAUAGAGAAAAGUCCACCCCUUAAAUUACAUGCUAUAAACCAGGACUACAUUGUGUUACCUUUCAUGUUUCGAAGAUACUACGAUAUGAUUCGAAGGACGUGAAAACCAGGAUUCACAAACCUUUAAAAAACAGCUGACCUGUAAACAUUUGAACAACACAUCAAAUGCAGGGAAAUGUUCUAAAGAUAUUAACGAGGAAUAUUAUCAUAUCAUUGUGACGAAAAGGCAACGCGAGGAAAGGAAUCAACCAUUUGGGAAAGAGCAGAAGGUGGAACAAUAUUAAUGGAUGUUAAAGAAUUAAACACCUGAAACUAUUCGAAUUUGUAAAUUUGCAAAAGGUCAAAAAAAAAAAGAAAAGAAUUUUCUUGUCUUGAUGAGUUCGUCAAGAAAUAUCUAUAACCUAAUCAUAUGCGCAACCAUUUAUUGGUUAUAAACGGAUUACAAAAAAGAAAGCUUUUUUGUAUAUAUACUUGUAUAUAAAUUUAUAUACACUAAUAUAUAUAUGUGUGUGUGUAUAUCUAUAUGUAAAUAACUGAAAGACCAUAUAUUCUUGGAAUUAAUAUUAUCUAAGAAAAGUUGGACAAUGUCAAACUAAAGAAGUUCCUAUCACUGAUGCUAAUUAAAAGUGCAGAAACAAAAAUUAUUCCACGCCCUUGUUUAUCUCACUCCUGAUUAUCUUAACGGCAAUCUCACUCCUAAGUCUCUUAUAAAAGUGUUCAUUCCAGUAUAGGUAUUGUAGUAACCUAUGUCGUUUUAAGCAAAACUCUUCUGUCAAGUCAACUAUCAUUGUAACACAAAUUUUCCCCUUUUUACUCUGCUCUUAAACACUGCUCCAACGUUGCUGUAGCCAUGAGGCCAGGCAUCCACGCCACUGUGCUGCGAAGUAGGCACCAGCGACACAGACGACAUUAUCCACCAAGAGCGAAUGCCUUUUCAACAAAAAGAUUCCUUAUUCUAGUGUUCCUCGGUUUUUCAGUCUUAAUACCGGGUAUAGCUCUCAGUGUGAUUGGAUUCCAGCCGGAAGAAAAGCACUACUCAGAGGAUCAGAAAAGAAUAUACCGGGUAUUAGGGCCGUCAGCGGUGGUCUGCUCUAUUGGCCUCCUUUUUGCUGCCUCUUUCUACUGUUACUGUUACUUGUCUGUUGAUUCGAGGCUGAAAAGGAAGAAGCAGGAGACACCACCAGAAAAAGAAUAUUCCGUUAAUGCCAGUCUAAAAAACAGUACAUGUUCUGAAAAUAACACAGAUCCAGAUAUAAAUAUGGAAUAUUCUGGGCUGGACUAUAGUGAAGGUGAACAAUGUUUACAGUUUGCUGAUGGGGAGCAAUAACACUGACUUGAUAUCAUUUUAUUAUAAGAGACUUCAGAAGGAGGUUUCCAUCAAAAACAGAUGGCUGUACUGACCACAUCACCAUACAAGUGUGCAUUCUAUGUGGGCUGUGCCAACCAAGACAUGGCUCCCAAUUUAUAAAGUGGAGAGGUCCCUUGAGUAAUUAAAGAUAAAUCUUUUAUAUUCAAAAAAAAAAUUCUUUUUUGAAAACAACAUUAAAAAAAGAAACAAAAUUUGUUGACAAAAGCAAAAAAAAACAACAAGAAAAAUUAUCAAAAGAGGAUAUGUCUUCUUUUUAAAGUGGAUGAUUUUUCAAUCCUUUACCCAUGAGGCCUUUUAACGCUCCAAUAAUAUCAAUAUGAAAAACUUAUACAUAAAAUAUAACAAAACAUAAAGGAAUUUCCUAAAAUAACAAAUGGCAAAAAAAAGGAAAAAAAAGAAGAAAGUACUGCAAAGACUGACUAAAACUUAUUUAAAAAACAAUACAAAAUCAAAGCAACAACAAUAAAAAAAACUGUCAGUAUCGCAGCAGUCAAGUAAUGAAGGGCAGAAUAUAUUUACAUUUAACAAUUUUCAAAUACAGACAAUAUGAUAUAUAAGAAUUGCUUCAAGCACUUAUAUUAACUUAUAACCAGAUAUGAAUGAUCUGAUAGAUUGGAAAUAUCUCGAAAAUAAAAAAAUUCUAAAAUAA